rnacentral:rRNA from 1 species
UAUAAUGGGUCAGCGACUUAUAUUCUGUAGCAAGGUUAACCGUAUAGGGGAGCCGAAGGGAAACCGAGUCUUAACUGGGCGUUAAGUUGCAGGGUAUAGACCCGAAACCCGGUGAUCUAGCCAUGGGCAGGUUGAAGGUUGGGUAACACUAACUGGAGGACCGAACCGACUAAUGUUGAAAAAUUAGCGGAUGACCUGUGGCUGGGGGUGAAAGGCCAAUCAAACCGGGAGAUAGCUGGUUCUCCCCGAAAGCUAUUUAGGUAGCGCCUCGUGAACUCAUCUUCGGGGGUAGAGCACUGUUUCGGCUAGGGGGCCAUCCCGGCUUACCAACCCGAUGCAAACUACGAAUACCGAAGAAUGUUAUCACGGGAGACACACGGCGGGUGCUAACGUCCGUCGUGAAGAGGGAAACAACCCAGACCGCCAGCUAAGGUCCCAAAGUCAUGGUUAAGUGGGAAACGAUGUGGGAAGGCCCAGACAGCCAGGAUGUUGGCUUAGAAGCAGCCAUCAUUUAAAGAAAGCGUAAUAGCUCACUGGUCGAGUCGGCCUGCGCGGAAGAUGUAACGGGGCUAAACCAUG